CUGUCAAACUUUUUCAGUGACGUUUAUCAGAAAUUUCGUGCCUUUAUUUAGUAAAAAGUGUUGAUGCGAUUUUGCCUCAAACUUUCAGAAACACUUGGCAGCUGAAAUCCACAGUCCAACAAAUGUACGGUCCAAGUUUUGCACGGUCCCUUCGCCACGGAAACUUGCUUGAUUAAUCAAGCUGCCGGGAACGUCCCUUGACCGGGCCUACAACCAGAAUAUGGGAAGCUCGCCGAUCCGCGACCAAAACAUCACUCCACUCCAACUUUUCUACCCCUUCCGAUGGAAAGUCCUAAGUAUUUCCGGUAUUUCCGGUGUGUUUUCGAUUCGGCGACCAGUUCCGUGCUAGCAGCCGACAAUUUAUAGUGGAUAUCAAACCCACCGGAAGUGCCGUAAGCUGUACUGAAGGAAUGGCUCAACGGGUGCAUCCACUUUGGGCAGGUGAAGACGAAAAAGACUUGCGGAAGUGUCCUGGUCAACCUGAUUCCCAUCAUGCACAACUUGAAUGCUCCUCCAUCAACUUUUGGUCUAAGAACGCUCGAAAAUUCAAUCCGAAUCGGCGUACGUGGUUCCUUAGAGGUUGAAAAGGUUCUGCCUUACAUACAAUCGAGCGGGGAGAAUUUUCGCCAGGCGUUUCUGUUGAACAGCGACGCCUUCGGCAACAAGCGCUUUCCCCGGCAAACGUGACUUCCACCUGUCAGAGUGGUACGAUCCGAAUCAACGAAAUCACGUCACGGCUUGGCGAUGAGUCCAGCACGGCCCAAAACCUGCUGGCUCGGAUCACCCAGAACGCACUGCUGCGCAAAAAGCUGCAAGUCCAGCGCAAGGUGCUGUACGAGCAGGCCGUCGAACCGGCCGUCCAACAGUUUGUCCAGUCCUUCUGCCUCAACAUCCAUCGCAGUCUGUUGGUGCUGAGCAAAAUGGUCGCCGGAGCGAACCCACCAACUCAAUGUUCCCCGACGGAUCAACCGAGGCCGAGCUGUCCAUCUCGCUGCAGCAAACGCUGCAUCUCUCGCAACCCCAGGUACGUUACGCCGCCGGGCUGGCCGAGUUCGUUUCGGCCAUGGUUCCGUCACCUGGAACCUCAACUGAGCAGUGUUGAUUUGCUGAUUCGCAUUUGUUCCUUUUUUUUUUGCUUUUUCCGAGAAUUACCUUCUCGCAUCCUUUUUGUUCCGUCGCUAGAUCUGCGCUUUGAUCUGCGGGAAAGUAGUUUUUUUUAUUACUUUUCAAAGUUCUCACUUAUUUAUUUUCUCCCAAAACAUUAUUUUUUUGACAUUUUUUUCUUUUUACUGUGUUUCGUUCCCUCAGUAUAUUUUUAAAGGCUAAAAGUUUCCAUCAUUACUCAA